AUUGGAUUGAGAACAACGUACAACUCUUAUCGAUAAGCCAUUGGAGGGCAAGUCUGGUGCCAGCAGCCGCGGUAAUUCCAGCUCCAAUAGCGUAUAUUAACGUUGUUGCAGUUAAAAAGCUCGUAGUUGAAGUGAGGGAGUGUGUGUUCAUGAGAGCUAGUCUCGAGUGUUCACAACCUCCCCCCUCCAAUCGGUGUAGUGGGGUAUUCAGUUAUUUCACUACUCCUUUGGUCGUUUACUGUGAGAAAAUUAGAGUGUUCAAAGCGGGCGUUUGUUUGAAUAGAUUAGCAUGGAAUAAUGAUUGAAGGCUUUCGUGUUCGAUUUGAUUGGUUUGUUCAUGGAAGCAAGGUUAAAAGGAACAGUUGGGGGUAUUCAUAUUCACUAGUUAGAGGUGAAAUUCUCGGAUUUAUGGAA
rnacentral:rRNA from 1 species